rfam:Orchesella cincta Ocin01_Sc1691, whole genome shotgun sequence.
GGCCUAAUGGUCUAGGGUAUGAUUUUCGCUUUGGGUGCGAGAGGUCCCGGGUUCAAAUCCCGGUUGGGCCC